UACGAAGGGGGCUAGCGUUGCUCGGAAUCACUGGGCGUAAAGGGUGCGUAGGCGGGUCUUUAAGUCAGGGGUGAAAUCCUGGAGCUCAACUCCAGAACUGCCUUUGAUACUGAAGGUCUUGAGUCCGGGAGAGGUGAGUGGAACUGCGAGUGUAGAGGUGAAAUUCGUAGAUAUUCGCAAGAACACCAGUGGCGAAGGCGGCUCACUGGCCCGGUACUGACGCUGAGGCACGAAAGCGUGGGGAGCAAACAGG
rnacentral:rRNA from 1 species